rnacentral:rRNA from 1 species
UCCUACGGGAGAAAGUGGGGGAUCUUCGGACCUCACGCUAUCAGAUGAGCCUAGGUCGGAUUACCUAGUUGGUGGGGUAAUGGCCCACCAAGGCGACGAUCCGUAGCUGGUCUGAGAGGAUGAUCAGUCACACUGGAACUGAGACACGGUCCAGACUCCUACGGGAGGCACCAGUGGGGAAUAUUGGACAAUGGGCGAAAGCCUGAUCCAACCAUGCCGCGUGUGUGAAGAAGGUCUUCGGAUUGUAAAGCACUUUAAGUUGGGAGGAAGGGCAGUAAGUUAAUACCUUGCUGUUUUGACGUUACCAACAUAAUAAGCACCGGCUAACUUCUUGCCAGCAGCCGCGGUAAUACAAAGGGUGCAAGCGUUAAUCGGAAUUACUGGGCGUAAAGCGCGCGUAGGUGGUUCAGCAA